GCAAAUUUACUACUGGGUAUAAGUGACCAGGUAUGUUUUGUUAUUGCUGGUGUCACUACUGCACCCUGCACAAUCCCUGUCUAAGGGCCUGAUUCUGACCUGUGUCCCCUGGCUGGGAUCAAGCUCCCUUCCCAGCCUUUUCCAGCUUCUCCUGAUGUACCCUGACUGCUGCCAGUCCAGGGGUCCCUUGCACAAGGAUCUCACCCCAAAAAUACCAUGUGAUAUCACUGCUGGGCUAAUUCAGCAAUUUUAAGUCAUGCUAAUUAUUUGUAAAUAAUCCUUUGAUGUUUUCUUUGUGGAUUUUUAGGUUUUUAGGGCCAAAUCCUGCGUUUUUGGCUUCUCCCAGAAGCCUGGGCACAAAGCAUCUGACUGCAGCUGGGAAUUCAUCACCUCUCUCCCUGGACAUGCAAAUUUUACUGGAACUCCUUCAGCUAAGUCCUGUGUGCCCCCGUGCCUUAGCAGGGAGUGGUGACAGCUCAUCGUGCAGGCUGGAAUUCCAGGGAAUCCUGCAGCCCCCUGGGAAGCUGCUGCCCAGGAAGGGGCUGGGGAUGCUGACUGCUUGUGACAAGUCUUGCCUGGGAGAAAACCAACACGGCAGCGGUUGGAAACCUGAAUGAUGUCACUAUGGCAACAAAAUAACUCACCUUAAAAUAAAAUGUGCA
rnacentral:lncRNA from 14 species